rnacentral:rRNA from 1 species
AUUGAACGCUGGCGGAAUGCUUUACACAUGCAAGUCGAACGGUAGAGGGGGCAACCCCUUGCGAGUGGCGAACGGGUGAGUAAUAUAUCGGAACGUGCCCAGUCGUUGGGGAUAACGUAGCGAAAGUUACGCUAAUACCGCAUACGAUCUAAGGAUGAAAGCGGGGGAUCGCAAGACCUCGCGCGACUGGAGCGGCCGAUAUCAGAUUAGGUAGUUGGUAGGGUAAAGGCCUACCAAGCCAACGAUCUGUAGCUGGUCUGAGAGGACGACCAGCCACACUGGAACUGAGACACGGUCCAGACUCCUACGGGAGGCAGCAGUGGGGAAUUUUGGACAAUGGGCGAAAGCCUGAUCCAGCCAUUCCGCGUGCAGGAUGAAGGCCCUCGGGUUGUAAACUGCUUUUGUACAGAACGAAAAGGUUUCUAUUAAUACUAGGAGCUCAUGACGGUACUGUAAGAAUAAGCACCGGCUAACUACGUG